GCGCUUAGAUUCAGCCGAAGUGUUCUACUCUCCUGGCAACAGUGACUGUCACCGCCGUCGUCGCCAUAUUGCGACGAAGCUGGGACGUUCCAUUCGGUGCUUAGCUCAAAUUUCGUCCAAAUUGGACGAUUGGGGGAUUCCGACGUCCCCCAGAUCCUGGUGAUUUCGCUUUCACUCGCCGCGCAGCCCCCAUUCUAAAUUAGUACUGGUCUCUUCAAAGAGGACAGUUUUAUUUCCCGGUGUUUCAAUAUGCAGCUCUUCUGAAUUGUUUCGGCCAUGAAGACCCAGGUAGUUAUCGCAACUCCUUUCGGAGUCGCCACCGCCUGUGCCAGCGCGUCUGCCAGUGUCGACGACGGUGUUUUCGUCGUCGCCGUCAAUGCUAGAGUCUCCAGCGAUGGACAAGAAAAAUUCUGCCCGCUCGUCGUCGUCCGCUCCCAAGGGGAACACCACUGACGCCAAGAGCAAGCAAGAUGGCUCGGGAAACAAGCAGCAGUA
rnacentral:lncRNA from 1 species